UCGGAAUUGCUAGUAAUGGCAGGUCAGCAUACUGCCGUGAAUACGUUCCGGGCCUUGUACACACCGCCCGUCACACCAUGAGAGUUGGCAAUACCCAACGUACGUGAUCUAACCCGCAAGGGAGGAAGCGUCCUAAGGUAGGGUCAGCGAUUGGGUGAAGUCGUAACAAGGUACC
rnacentral:rRNA from 1 species